rnacentral:rRNA from 1 species
ACGAACGCUGGCGGCGUGCUUAACACAUGCAAGUCGCACGGAAAGGCCCUGCUUUUGUGGGGUGCUCGAGUGGCGAACGGGUGAGUAACACGUGAGUAACCUGCCCUUGACUUUGGGAUAACUUCAGGAAACUGGGGCUAAUACCGGAUAGGAGCUCCUGCUGCAUGGUGGGGGUUGGAAAGUUUCGGCGGUUGGGGAUGGACUCGCGGCUUAUCAGCUUGUUGGUGGGGUAGUGGCUUACCAAGGCUUUGACGGGUAGCCGGCCUGAGAGGGUGACCGGCAACAUUGGGACUGAGAUACGGCCCAGACUCCUACGGGAGGCAGCAGUGGGGAAUAUUGCACAAUGGGCGGAAGCCUGAUGCAGCAACGCCGCGUGCGGGAUGACGGCCUUCGGGUUGUAAACCGCUUUCGCCUGUGACGAAGCGUGAGUGACGGUAAUGGGUAAAGAAGCACCGGCUAACUACGUG